rnacentral:tRNA from 3 species
ACACUAAUGGUGUAAUGGUAACAUAACCGCCUUCCAAGCAGUUGCCUAGGGUUCGAUUCCCUAUUAGUGUA